GAGGAAUAUUGCGCAAUGGAGGCAACUCUGACGCAGCCAUGCCGCGUGCAGGAAGAAGGCGCUACGCGUUGUAAACUGCUUUUAUCCGGGAAGAAACCCCUCCACGUGUGGAGGGUUGACGGUACCGGAGGAAUAAGCACCGGCUAACUUCGUGCCAGCAGCCGCGGUAAUACGAAGGGUGCAAGCGUUAUCCGGAUUCAUUGGGUUUAAAGGGUGCGUAGGCGGAACAAUAAGUCAGCGGUGAAAGCCCGUAGCUUAACUACGGAAUUGCCGUUGAUACUGUUGUUCUUGAGGACGCUUGACGUGGGCGGAAUGUGCCGUGUAGCGGUGAAAUGCUUAGAUAUGGCACAUAACACCGAUAGUGAAGACAGCUCACGAAGGCGAAACUGACGCUGAGGCACGAAAGCGUGGGGAUCAAACA
rnacentral:rRNA from 1 species